UCCCAAAGCGCCAUGAUUCUAUAGAGGAAUCAUCAAGAGGUUUCUAUCUCGCUUAUUGCUGGCACACUUGCUUGUGGAGGUUCUUUUCAAGUAAGAGGGACUACGUUGUCUCACUCAUAAACAUAGCACAAAUUGUAGGUGAAGGAGCAACAAUUCUUUGAUCACCAAGCACAAAAAACAUGGUGCCACUACUCAAUCCACACAAGCUACAUUGGAGUGGAGUUUGGGGCUAACCACAGAGGACAAGAGUAGUUUUGUGAGACGACUCAAAACAUUAUUUUUCAAGUUAUUCACAAGUUAGGUACUAGUGUAUAUAUAACUCUUCCCUUCCGAGGUAAAGUAUGAAGAUAGUCUAAUGGAAUUAUCAUUAGGCAUUACAUGUGGAUCACUCAACACACCCAAAAUGCACAACUCUCUUGUUCGGUGGAAAGCUGCGGAACCAAGGUACUCAGAAGUCAGCACGUACACAACAAAUAUCAAAUGUACGAGAUUAUCAUAGUGAGAUAAACCAUAAAAAAUUGUAAAGUAUAUAGGAAGCUUGUUUGAGAUGACGGACGGAGAUAAAGGAAGCUUGUUUAGGUUUAGGAAAGAUGAAAAUUGAAUUUUGGUGAUGGGAGCUUAGGUUGCAAUUGGAGAGAGAUUUUCAAUCAGAUGCAUGGUUGGAAUUUAAAUGAAAGAGUUUAUUUACUACAAGAGUGUGAAAUGAAAGGGUAAUUUUUUUUUUUUACAGUGUUAGUUUUGUAAAAGAAUAACUGUAACAAGAGAUGUUAUAAUUUUGACCUAGUCUUAUGUCUCCUCUAUAUAUAUAUAUAUAUCUUAGUUAUGUACGAUGCAUUAUCAAAUGCCCUAAAAUGAAAACGGCGCCUUGUGGGAACUGAUGAUUGAAGUUCUGUUGAGGUUGGUUGCAGGUGGAGUCUGUUGUUCGUUUCUUAUGUGUGUGAAAGUUAUGGUUUUCUCUCAUAUCUGAUGGAAGGGCUUGUUCUUGAUAUCCCCUUCUGUUCCUGAAUUCAGAUCCAUAGACUUUAACUUUCUGCCUCCAAAUCUCAUGAUUUUCGUAUCCUAGUUUUUUAUUUUUUUAUUUUUAACUUUUGUCCUGUUUUGAAGUUUUUAUCUGUGGAAUCCAUUCACAAGUGAGGGUACCUUGAAAAUUGCUUAAUCUAUGGGGUUAUGGGCUGUGGGGGAGAACAUGAACAACCAUUUUGUAGAAAUAUGAGAGAAAGCCAUGACUUACUCACACAUUUUGAAACAAAGUGGUUAGAUUGUUGGAACAGAUCGCAGAUCUGGAUUUACAAGGGACAACUGCUAGAUCAUGGAUCCUAUUUUAAUGGUCCAUAUAGAUCUGAGGGGGCUGUGUACAAAGUUUCUGUUUUCACUCUCUUGUCCAUAAGGUUUUGAUAUUAUUUUUGAUACUUUUGCUAUUUUCUUGUUGCUCAUCUUAUAUUAAGAAUAAUGAUUUUUUUUUUGUCUUGAUAUAAAGCAAUCAAAAGUAACAGACAGAAUGAUAAAAUUGGUGUUUUAUCAUUAUAUCAUGUUUUAUGAUUAUUCCAUGUAACUGUGUCGGAUUUAGAUUCUCUAAUUUUGAUAUAUAAAAGUUAUACUAACUUAAUGCAUUUAAAUCGUUAGAUUUUUAAUAAUAAAUUAGAUUAUGACACGUGUGUAAUAUAUAUUUUGACUUAAAUGUAUAUAUGUCACAAUCUGAUUUAUUAUUAUUAAUCUAACGAUUUAAAUAUAAUAAGUUACCAUAAUUUUCCUUUCAUAAAGUUAGAGGAUCUAUUUCUGACCGUGUUGUUGUUAGCAAUUUAUAUCUCCCCUUUUUAACUAUUUUUUAUUUUUAUUUUUAUUUUUUUAAAAUUUUUAAUUAAUUUAUUUUUUUUACCUUAGCCUUAAUAGUGAUUUUGUUGCAUUGCUUGAUGUGAAUCCGAAUUUUAAAUUGGCACAAUCAGCUGAUACCUGAUAACACCAUUGAUAUGAAUCAGAUACAAUUGCGAGUUAACUAACAGUUUAUGAUCCCAAGUAGAUAAAAGGGUUAACUCUAUUACAAGCUUUUUUACUAGAUAAACUUAUUUAAACUCUUAAAGGCUCUGGAGUCAAGAAACAAGUAAGGAAGUUUGAAAUCAAAUGUAAUUUUUACUUCAUUGACUCCAUAAUGUAAAUGUUUUAUCAUGACUCAAAUGAUUUAAAAAAUAAUUUCUUUUUGAAAUAUUUUCAUUUUAGGAAUUAUGUUUUUAUGAAAUUAUAUAAUUUAUUAAUUUGAUCAUUUAUGUAGCUUAAUCCUAUUUAGUAUUAAUGUACUAUACACUUUAUUAUUGUAUUUUAAUACUUUGCCUCUCUGCCCUACGAUUUUUGAAUCCUAGGUUUGUGUAUAAGGUUUUACUUUUAUCUUGUCAUUGAAGUUUCUACCUGUGAAAUCCAUUCACAAGUGAGGGUACCUUGAGAAUUGUUCAAUCUAUGGGCUAUGGGGGAUAACAAGAACAACCAUUUUGUAUAAAAUAUAAGAGAAAGCCAUGACUUACAUACACAUUUGAAGCAAAGUGUGUGUGGAAUUUUGGACUAAGACUAUUGUCGUGUGUAAAUAUAAUCUGCAAAAGUGAUGAUACUGUUGGAACAGAUUGCAGAUCUGGAUUCUAAUGGUCCAUAUAGAUCUGCCGUGGCUGUUUACAAAGUCUCUGUUUUCACUCCCUUGUGAUAGCGAGCAAGCUCAAGAAGAAGGUCCUAUAGGUUGUGAAAUAUUUUCUUAUACUUCUACUAUUUUCUUGUUGCUCCUCUUAUAUUAUAUUAUUAAUGAAUUAUUCUGUCCUGGUAUAUUAAACCAGAAUGAUGAAAUUGCUGUUUCAUCAUUAUAUUAUGAUUUAUGAUUAUUCCAUGGUUUAUUGUUU